UUUAAAAUUAAAAGAAAUUGGAAUAAUACUAGAGAAGAUUAGCAUGGCUCCUGUGCAAGAAUGACAUACACAUUCAUGAAGGAAAUUAUGUAGUU
rnacentral:snRNA from 1 species